AUACGGAGGGGGCAAGCGUUGUUCGGAAUUACUGGGCGUAAAGGGCGCGUAGGCGGCCAAGUCAGUCAGGCGUGAAAGCCCAGGGCUCAACCCUGGAAUUGCGCUUGAUACUGCUUGGCUCGAGACCGGAAGAGGGUAGUGGAAUUCCAAGUGUAGAGGUGAAAUUCGUAGAUAUUAGAAAGAAUACCAAUUGCGAAGGCAGCUUUCUGGAUCAUUACUGACACUGAGGAACGAAAGCAUGGGUAGCGAAGAGGAUUAGAUACCCUCGUAGUCCAUGCCGUAAACGAUGUGUGUUAGACGUUGGAAAUUUAUUUUCAGUGUCGCAGCGAAAGCGAUAAACACACCGCCUGGGGAGUACGACCGCAAGGUUAAAACUCAAAUGAAUUGACGGGGACCCGCACAAGUAGUGGAGCAUGUGGUUUAAUUCGAAGAUACGCGCAGAACCUUACCAACACUUGACAUGUUCGUCGCGACUCUAAGAGAUUAGAG
rnacentral:rRNA from 1 species